UACAGAGGUCCCAAGCGUUGUUCGGAUUCAUUGGGCGUAAAGGGUGGCGUAGGCGGCGCGGUAAGUCGGGUGUGAAAUCUCGGGGCUUAACUCCGAAACUGCAUUCGAUACUGCCGUGCUUGAGGACUGGAGAGGAGACUGGAAUUUACGGUGUAGCGGUGAAAUGCGUAGAUAUCGUAAGGAAGACCAGUGGCGAAGGCGGGUCUCUGGACAGUUCCUGACGCUGAGGCACGAAGGCCAGGGGAGCAAACGGG
rnacentral:rRNA from 1 species